ensembl:snoRNA
UAGCAUUGUCCAAUGGCCUUUGGUUUUUCUUAUAACCAAUUAGGUCUGAAAGCAAUGGAAGAGAAACUUCCUUUUUCCAUGAGAAACACCCCUGUAGUGGGUUGUUCCUAUGGACAAGAGGAUACAUGU